GAACAGCGCCUAGCAAUAUGAACUGCAAAAAAAUUAAAUAAAAUUAGCAAAAAGUUUGACUGUCACAACAAUACAACAAGUAGACAGGUAAAAUCUCAUUAACUAGAGGUUCAGUAUGCUGCAAUACGAACUGCAAAAGAACUUACUAGAAUUAGCAAGAAGUUUCACUCUCACAAUACAAGUAGACAGGUAAAAAUUCAUUAACUAGAGGUUCAAUAUGCUGCAAAAGUUGACUAACAGAAUCUUGAGCUUUGAACAAACAAAUAGUAGCAUAAUGCUGGGUUUUAAUCAUAGAUGCUUGAAACACAUCAUAAGAAAUGAAAGAUAGGGGAACAAAAGAUUGACAAUAAAAUGUACAAACAAGAAUAAAGAUAUUCUGAGCAAAAUGCAAAGAAAACUUUCCUUUACUUGAAAGAAUUACAAACACUUUCCAUUAAACUUUAGACACCAAU
rnacentral:misc_RNA from 1 species